rnacentral:rRNA from 1 species
GUUGCCGUUAAAGCUCGUAGUCGAACUUCGGCCCCUGCUGGCCGGUCCGCCUUCUUGGUGUGUACUUGCUCAGCGGGGGCUUACCUCCUGGUGAGCGGCGAUGCCCUUCACUGGGUGUCGUCGGGAACCAGGACAUUUACUUUGAGAAAAUUAGAGUGUUCAAAGCAGGCCUACGCCCGAAUACAUUAGCAUGGAAUAAUAAAAUAGGACGCGCGUUCCCAUUUUGUUGGUUUCUGAGAUCGCCGUAAUGAUUAAUAGGGAUAGUUGGGGGCAUUUGUAUUCCGUCGUCAGAGGUGAAAUUCUUGGAUUGCCGGAAGACAAACUACUGCGAAAGCAUUUGCCAAGGAUGUUUUCAUUGAUCAAGAACGAAGGAAGGGGGAUCGAAAACGAUUAGAUACCGUUGUAGUCUCUUCUGUAAACUAUGCCAAUUGGGGAUUGGUACAGGAUUUUUAAUGACUGUAUCAGCACCCGAAGAGAAAUCUUUAAAUGAGGUUCGGGGGGGAGUAUGGUCGCAAGGCUGAAACUUAAAGGAAUUGACGGAAGGGCACCACCAGGUGUGGAGCCUGCGGCUUAAUUUGACUCAACACGGGGAAACUCACCAGGUCCAGACACAAAAAGGAUUGACAGAUUGAUAGCUCUUUCUUGAUCUUGUGGUUGGUGGUGCAUGGCCGUUCUUAGUUGGUGGAGUGAUUUGUCUGGUUAAUUCCGAUAACGAACGAGACCUUAACCUGCUAAAUAGACCAGCCGGCUUUGGCUGGCUGCUGUCUUCUUAGAGGGACUAUCAGCGUUUAGCUGAUGGAAGUUUGAGCAAUAACAGGUCUGUGAUGCCCUUAGAUGUCUGGGCCGCACGCGCGCUACACUGAC